rnacentral:rRNA from 1 species
CCUACGGGAGGCAGCAGUGAGGAAUAUUGGUCAAUGGCCGCAGGGCUGAACCAGCCAAGUCGCGUGAGGGAUGACGGUCCUAUGGAUUGUAAACCUCUUUUGUCAGGGAGCAAAGGGCGCCACGUGUGGCGCUUUGCGAGUACCUGAAGAAAAAGCAUCGGCUAACUCCGGGCCAGCAGCCGCGGUAAUACGGAGGAUGCGAGGGUUAUCCGGGUUUAUUGGGUUUAAAGGGUGCGCAGGCGGAAUGUCAAGUCAGCGGUAAAAUUUCGGGGCUCAACCCCGUCGUGCCGUUGAAACUGGCGUUCUUGAGUGAGCGAGAAGUAUGCGGAAUGCGUGGUGUAGCGGUGAAAUGCAUAGAUAUCACGCAGAACUCCGAUUGCGAAGGCAGCAUACCGGCGCUCAACUGACGCUCAUGCACGAAAGCGUGGGUAUCGAACAGGAUUAGAUACCCUAGUAGUC